GUGCGUAUAUGGUUAUUCUGCCUCGACUUUUAUUUUAUUUCUUUUCCAGUUGUUUACCCUUAAGACCAACUCUUCUUUUUUGUUUGCUGAAUGGGAUCUGUCAACAAUACAAGGAUUGAUAUGCGCAUUAUUAGCAGCCACUGGUUUCGCAGUUGUGUACGAGGUUCUUACAUUUUAUAUACAGCUCAGGGAAUCUUUGUUACAACAACGGAAUUGCAAAUAUGCAUUUAAAUCGUUCAUAGGAACCCAUUGUCUUCUAUCUGUAGUGCGUAUGCUGAAACUUUUUGUAGGGUAUCUUUUAAUGAUGUGUAUUAUGUCUUACAACAUUUGGAUGUUAGUUUCAGCAACACUUGGUGGGGGUAUCGGUUAUCUUUGUGCUAGGCCUAUCAUCAACACAUGUUUCUUCAGAAACAGAUACAACUACAGUCUGUCAGCAAACAUUCGAACAGACCUGUUACCAAUGCGAAAAAAAGCAAGUGAAGAUUACGUCCCCUAUGGUUUAUACUUUAACACAUCCGAUCCAUGGAGUAAUGCAACAGACAGACCAAACAGUAUCUAUGAACCAGAAGUAACAAUGUACGUCUCUGUGCUUUGAAAGAUGAGAUCGUAAUGAUGUAAAAUAUUGACGAUAGCUUUUGUCUUGGACUUGUUUCAUGU